GACGUCGGACCAUCUGAUCCUGAUUGGGCUCGUGUAUCUACAUUGAUUCAUCGCUAUCUGAGACAGGUUAAUGCCGAAGAGGAAGAUCCACAGUUUGCUGAUUUAUUUGAAGCUUUGCAUAUUUCUCGUUCACAUUGAUUUAUGUAUUAAGUUUUAGAACUGAAUAUAAUAGACAUAAUAUAAAAUUCAUGUUUUGAUUACA